rnacentral:rRNA from 1 species
UGGGGAAACCCAGCAUGAGUUAUGUCAUGUUAUCGAUAUGUGAAUACAUAGCAUAUCAGAAGGCACACCCGGAGAACUGAAACAUCUUAGUACCCGGAGGAAGAGAAAGAAAAUUCGAUUCCCUUAGUAGCGGCGAGCGAAAUGGGAAGAGCCCAAACCAACAAGCUUGCUUGUUGGGGUUGUAGGACACUCUAUACGGAGUUACAAAGGACGACAUUAGACGAAUCAUCUGGAAAGAUGAAUCAAAGAAGGUAAUAAUCCUGUAGUCGAAAAUGUUGUCUCUCU